CUUGUACUUACGGGGAACCUUGACUUUUCUGCGGGGUCCAUAACUUCAGUGGAUCCUUUGUGCAUUUCCACCAUUGGGAUGUUGGGAGAAGAUGCAGAGGAUGGAAUUCAAUCAAAAUAAGUGUGAGGCAACCAUUCAUUGUUUCAGCUAGUAAGUCUACUUGAAGGAGGCAGAGGCAGACAAAUGGCAGGCUCCAGGCAUUCACUGCAGAACGGAGAAAUACAACUGAAUCAGCAAAAAGCUACACACAAUGACUGAUGACAACCAAUGUGCAAAGGAAGACAAACUGUGCAAGUCAAAGCAAAUAAAUAAUACUGAGAACAUGAGUUGUAGAGUCCCUAAAAGAUGAAAAUUAUGCUCCUUUUGUAAAGUAGUAACUGAGCCUCCUAAACCAUUAGUGGUUUUGGAUGCUACGAUUUUCAUAAUUAUUUCAUGUUGGCUAUUUUUCCAUUCAGCUGUUGGCCCUCAGUUUGCAAUCCCAUUUGUUUUUGCUGAACAUUCCAUUGCCACAAUAUCAAUGUGCACACA